rnacentral:rRNA from 1 species
UGAACGCUGGCGGCGUGCCUAAUACAUGCAAGUCGAGCGAACAGACGAGGAGCUUGCUCCUCUGACGUUAGCGGCGGACGGGUGAGUAACACGUGGAUGACCUACCUAUAAGACUGGGAUAACUUCGGGAAACCGGAGCUAAUACCGGAUAAUAUAUUGAACCGCAUGGUUCAAUAGUGAAAGACGGUUUUGCUGUCACUUAUAGAUGGAUCCGCGCCGCAUUAGCUAGUUGGUAAGGUAACGGCUUACCAAGGCAACGAUGCGUAGCCGACCUGAGAGGGUGAUCGGCCACACUGGAACUGAGACACGGUCCAGACUCCUACGGGAGGCAGCAGUAGGGAAUCUUCCGCAAUGGGCGAAAGCCUGACGGAGCAACGCCGCGUGAGUGAUGAAGGUCUUCGGAUCGUAAAACUCUGUUAUUAGGGAAGAACAAAUGUGUAAGUAACUAUGCACGUCUUGACGGUACCUAAUCAGAAAGCCACGGCUAACUACGUG